GACGAACGCUGGCGGCGUGGAUUAGGCAUGCAAGUCGAACGGUAGGAUACCUUCGGGUAUCUGAGAGUGGCGAACGGGUGAGUAACACGUAGGUGAUCUACCCUCAAGAUUGGGACAACCCAGGGAAACUUGGGCUAAUACCGGAUGAAAGCAGCAGUGAUGUUGUUUGAAAGGUGGCGUAAGCUGCCGUUUGGGGAUGAGCCUGCGCUCUAUUAGUUAGUUGGCGGGGUAAAGGCCCACCAAGGCGAUGAUAGAUAGGCGGCCUUAACGGGUGGUCGCCCACACUGGGAUUGAGAUACGGCCCAGACUCCUACGGGAGGCAGCAGUCGAGAAUAGUCUACAAUGGCCGAAAGGCUGAUAGUGCGACGCCGCGUGAACGAAGAAGCCCUUGGGGUUAAAGUUCUUUUAUAUGUGAGCAGUGCUUUCUAUGUGAACAGCAGUGGGGAAGAGAUAUUAGCAUAUGAAUAAGCAACGGCUAACUCCGUGCCAGCACG
rnacentral:rRNA from 1 species